GAUGAACGCUGGCGGCGUGCCUAAUACAUGCAAGUCGAGCGAACGGACGAGAAGCUUGCUUCUCUGAUGUUAGCGGCGGACGGGUGAGUAACACGUGGAUAACCUACCUAUAAGACUGGGAUAACUUCGGGAAACCGGAGCUAAUACCGGAUAAUAUUUUGAACCGCAUGGUUCAAAAGUGAAAGACGGUCUUGCUGUCACUUAUAGAUGGAUCCGCGCUGCAUUAGCUAGUUGGUAAGGUAACGGCUUACCAAGGCAACGAUGCAUAGCCGACCUGAGAGGGUGAUCGGCCACACUGGAACUGAGACACGGUCCAGACUCCUACGGGAGGCAGCAGUAGGGAAUCUUCCGCAAUGGGCGAAAGCCUGACGGAGCAACGCCGCGUGAGUGAUGAAGGUCUUCGGAUCGUAAAACUCUGUUAUUAGGGAAGAACAUAUGUGUAAGUAACUGUGCACAUCUUGACGGUACCUAAUCAGAAAGCCACGGCUAACUACGUGCCAGCAGCCGCGGUAAUACGUAGGUGGCAAGCGUUAUCCGGAAUUAUUGGGCGUAAAGCGCGCGUAGGCGGUUUUUUAAGUCUGAUGUGAAAGCCCACGGCUCAACCGUGGAGGGUCAUUGGAAACUGGAAAACUUGAGUGCAGAAGAGGAAAGUGGAAUUCCAUGUGUAGCGGUGAAAUGCGCAGAGAUAUGGAGGAACACCAGUGGCGAAGGCGACUUUCUGGUCUGUAACUGACGCUGAUGUGCGAAAGCGUGGGGAUCAAACAGGAUUAGAUACCCUGGUAGUCCACGCCGUAAACGAUGAGUGCUAAGUGUUAGGGGGUUUCCGCCCCUUAGUGCUGCAGCUAACGCAUUAAGCACUCCGCCUGGGGAGUACGACCGCAAGGUUGAAACUCAAAGGAAUUGACGGGGACCCGCACAAGCGGUGGAGCAUGUGGUUUAAUUCGAAGCAACGCGAAGAACCUUACCAAAUCUUGACAUCCUUUGACAACUCUAGAGAUAGAGCUUUCCCCUUCGGGGGACAAAGUGACAGGUGGUGCAUGGUUGUCGUCAGCUCGUGUCGUGAGAUGUUGGGUUAAGUCCCGCAACGAGCGCAACCCUUAAGCUUAGUUGCCAUCAUUAAGUUGGGCACUCUAAGUUGACUGCCGGUGACAAACCGGAGGAAGGUGGGGAUGACGUCAAAUCAUCAUGCCCCUUAUGAUUUGGGCUACACACGUGCUACAAUGGACAAUACAAAGGGCAGCGAAACCGUGAGGUCAGGCAAAUCCCAUAAAGUUGUUCUCAGUUCGGAUUGUAGUCUGCAACUCGACUACAUGAAGCUGAAAUCGCUAGUAAUCGUAGAUCAGCAUGCUACGGUGAAUACGUUCCCGGGUCU
rnacentral:rRNA from 1 species